rnacentral:rRNA from 1 species
GUUAGGAAUAUUGGACAAUGGGCGCAAGCCUGAUCCAGCCAUGCCGCGUGAGUGAUGAAGGCCUUCGGGUUGUAAAGCUCUUUAGUCCACGAAUAUAAUGACUGUAGUGGAAGAAUAAGCCCCGGCUAACUUCGUGCCAGCAGCCGCGGUAAUACGAAGGGGGCGAGCGUUAUUCGGAAUCACUGGGCGUAAAGCGUGCGUAGGCUGUUUUGUAAGUCAGAAGUGAAAGCCCAGGGCUUAACCCUGGAAUUGCUUUUGAAACUACAAGACUCGAAUUCGGGAGAGGAUAGCGGAAUUGUCAGUGUAGCAGUGAAAUGCGUAGAUAUUGGAAGGAACACCAGUGGCGUAAGCGGCUAUCUGGACGAGUAUUGACGCUGAGGCACGAAAGCGUGGGGAUCAAACAGGAUUAGAUACCCUGGUAGUCC